rnacentral:tRNA from 2 species
GGGCGUUUAGCUCAGUUGGUAGAGCACCUGUUUUACACACAGGCGGUCAUAGGUUCGAAUCCUGUAGCGCCCA